CAAGGGGGUCAUCCCGACUUACCAACCCGAUGCAAACUGCGAAUACCGGAGAAUGUUAUCACGGGAGACACACGGCGGGUGCUAACGUCCGUCGUGAAGAGGGAAACAACCCAGACCGCCAGCUAAGGUCCCAAAGUCAUGGUUAAGUGGGAAACGAUGUGGGAAGGCCCAGACAGCCAGGAUGUUGGCUUAGAAGCAGCCAUCAUUUAAAGAAAGCGUAAUAGCUCACUGGUCGAGUCGGCCUGCGCGGAAGAUGUAACGGGGCUAAACCAUGCACCGAAGCUGCGGCAGCGACACUAUGUGUUGUUGGGUAGGGGAGCGUUCUGUAAGCCUGUGAAGGUGGCCUGUGAGGGUUGCUGGAGGUAUCAGAAGUGCGAAUGCUGACAUAAGUAACGAUAAAGCGGGUGAAAAGCCCGCUCGCCGGAAGACCAAGGGUUCCUGUCCAACGUUAAUCGGGGCAGGGUGAGUCGACCCCUAAGGCGAGGCCGAAAGGCGUAGUCGAUGGGAAACAGGUUAAUAUUCCUGUACUUGGUGUUACUGCGAAGGGGGGACGGAGAAGGCUAUGUUGGCCGGGCGACGGUUGUCCCGGUUUAAGCGUGUAGGCUGGUUUUCCAGGCAAAUCCGGAAAACCAAGGCUGAGGCGUGAUGACGAGGCACUACGGUGCUGAAGCGACAAAUGCCCUGCUUCCAGGAAAAGCCUCUAAGCAUCAGGUAACAUCAAAUCGUACCCCAAACCGACACAGGUGGUCAGGUAGAGAAUACCAAGGCGCUUGAGAGAACUCGGGUGAAGGAACUAGGCAAAAUGGUGCCGUAACUUCGGGAGAAGGCACGCUGAUAUGUAGGUGAAGCGACUUGCUCGUGGAGCUGAAAUCAGUCGAAGAUACCAGCUGGCUGCAACUGUUUAUUAAAAACACAGCACUGUGCAAACACGAAAGUGGACGUAUACGGUGUGACGCCUGCCCGGUGCCGGAAGGUUAAUUGAUGGGGUUAGCGGUAACGCGAAGCUCUUGAUCGAAGCCCCGGUAAACGGCGGCCGUAACUAUAACGGUCCUAAGGUAGCGAAAUUCCUUGUCGGGUAAGUUCCGACCUGCACGAAUGGCGUAAUGAUGGCCAGGCUGUCUCCACCCGAGACUCAGUGAAAUUGAACUCGCUGUGAAGAUGCAGUGUACCCGCGGCAAGACGGAAAGACCCCGUGAACCUUUACUAUAGCUUGACACUGAACAUUGAGCCUUGAUGUGUAGGAUAGGUGGGAGGCUUUGAAGUGUGGACGCCAGUCUGCAUGGAGCCGACCUUGAAAUACCACCCUUUAAUGUUUGAUGUUCUAACGUUGGCCCGUAAUCCGGGUUGCGGACAGUGUCUGGUGGGUAGUUUGACUGGGGCGGUCUCCUCCUAAAGAGUAACGGAGGAGCACGAAGGUUGGCUAAUCCUGGUCGGACAUCAGGAGGUUAGUGCAAUGGCAUAAGCCAGCUUGACUGCGAGCGUGACGGCGCGAGCAGGUGCGAAAGCAGGUCAUAGUGAUCCGGUGGUUCUGAAUGGAAGGGCCAUCGCUCAACGGAUAAAAGGUACUCCGGGGAUAACAGGCUGAUACCGCCCAAGAGUUCAUAUCGACGGCGGUGUUUGGCACCUCGAUGUCGGCUCAUCACAUCCUGGGGCUGAAGUAGGUCCCAAGGGUAUGGCUGUUCGCCAUUUAAAGUGGUACGCGAGCUGGGUUUAGAACGUCGUGAGACAGUUCGGUCCCUAUCUGCCGUGGGCGCUGGAGAACUGAGGGGGGCUGCUCCUAGUACGAGAGGACCGGAGUGGACGCAUCACUGGUGUUCGGGUUGUCAUGCCAAUGGCACUGCCCGGUAGCUAAAUGCGGAAGAGAUAAGUGCUGAAAGCAUCUAAGCACGAAACUUGCCCCGAGAUG
rnacentral:rRNA from 1 species